rnacentral:rRNA from 1 species
GGUCAAGCGAAUAAGCGCACACGGUGGAUGCCUUGGCGGUCAGAGGCGAUGAAGGACGUGGCAGCCUGCGAAAAGUAUCGGGGAGCUGGCAACAAGCUUUGAUCCGGUAAUGUCCGAAUGGGGAAACCCACCCGCUUGCGGGUAUCCUGCAGUGAAUACAUAGCUGCUGGAAGCGAACCUGGUGAACUGAAAUAUCUAAGUAACCAGAGGAAAAGAAAUCAACCGAGAUUCCGUAAGUAGCGACGAGCGAACGCGGACUAGCCCUUAAGCUGAUUUGGUUCUAGGAAAACGCUCUGGAAAGAGCGGCCAUAGAAGGUGAUAGCCCUGUAUCUGAAAGGGCCAUUUCAGUGAAGACGAGUAGGGCGGGGCACGUGAAACCCUGUCUGAACAUGGGGGGACCAUCCUCCAAGGCUAAAUACUACUGACCGACCGAUAGUGAACCAGUACCGUGAGGGAAAGGCGAAAAGAACCCCGGAGAGGGGAGUGAAAUAGAACCUGAAACCGUGUGCGUACAAGCAGUAGGAGCUCCGCAAGGAGUGACUGCGUACCUUUUGUAUAAUGGGUCAGCGACUUACUGUUCGUGGCAAGCUUAACCGUAUAGGGGAGGCGAAGGGAAACCGAGUCUGAUAAGGGCGCAUAGUCGCGGGCAGUAGACCCGAAACCGGGUGAUCUAGUCAUGCCCAGGGUGAAGGUGCGGUAACACGCACUGGAGGCCCGAACCCACUCCCGUUGCAAAGGUAGGGGAUGAGGUGUGAUUAGGAGUGAAAAGCUAAUCGAACCCGGAGAUAGCUGGUUCUCCUCGAAAGCUAUUUAGGUAGCGCCUCAUAUGUAUCCUCUCGGGGGUAGAGCACUGUUAUGGCUAGGGGGUCAUCGCGACUUACCAAACCAUUGCAAACUCCGAAUACCGAGACGGACUGUAUGGGAGACACACGGCGGGUGCUAACGUCCGUCGUGAAAAGGGAAACAACCCAGACCCACAGCUAAGGUCCCAAAUUUUGUGCUAAGUGGAAAACCAUGUGGAAAGGCACAGACAGCCAGGAGGUUGGCUUAGAAGCAGCCACCCUUUAAAGAAAGCGUAAUAGCUCACUGGUCGAGUCGGUCUGCGGGGAAGAUUUAACGGGGCUAAGCACAGAACCGAAGCUUGGGGUGCAUAACUUUGUUAUGCGCGGUAGAGGAGCGUUCCGUAAGCCGUUGAAGGUGGAUUGAGAAGUCCGCUGGAGGUAUCGGAAGUGCGAAUGCUGACAUGAGUAACGAUAAUGCGGGUGAAAAACCCGCACGCCGAAAGCCCAAGGUUUCCUUGCGCAACGUUAAUCGGCGCAGGGUGAGUCGGCCCCUAAGGCGAGGACGAAAGUCGUAGUCGAUGGGAAGCAGGUUAAUAUUCCUGCACCUCGCGUAAGUGCGAUGGAGGGACGGAGAAGGUUAGGUGUACCAGGCGUUGGUUGUCCUGGGGAAAGGCGGUAGGUUUGGAUCUUUGGCAAAUCCGGGAUCCUUUAAGACCGAGCACCGAGACGAGCCUUUAUGGCGAAGUCACUGAUACCACGCUUCCAGGAAAAGCUCCUAAGCUUCAGCUUACGCAGACCGUACCGUAAACCGACACAGGUGGGUAGGAUGAGAAUUCUCAGGCGCUUGAGAGAACUCGGGUGAAGGAACUAGGCAACAUGGCACCGUAACUUCGGGAGAAGGUGCACCCUUUUUGGUGGCUCGUGCGAGCUAUAGCUGAAGAGGGUCGCAGUAACCAGGCCGCUGCGACUGUUUAUCAAAAACACAGCACUCUGCAAACACGAAAGUGGACGUAUAGGGUGUGACGCCUGCCCGGUGCUGGAAGGUUAAUUGAUGGGGUCAGCCGCAAGGCGAAGCUCUUGAUCGAAGCCCCAGUAAACGGCGGCCGUAACUAUAACGGUCCUAAGGUAGCGAAAUUCCUUGUCGGGUAAGUUCCGACCUGCACGAAUGGCGUAACGACAGCGGCGCUGUCUCCACCCGAGACUCAGUGAAAUUGAAAUCGCUGUGAAGAUGCAGCGUUCCCGUGGCAAGACGGAAAGACCCCGUGAACCUUUACUAUAGCUUUACACUGAACGUUGAGUUCGUCUGUGUAGGAUAGGUGGGAGGCUAUGAAACCAUGGCGCUAGCUGUGGCGGAGCCAUCCUUGAAAUACCACCCUGUCGUGCUUGACGUUCUAACCUGGGCCCAUUAUCUGGGUCGGGGACCGUGUAUGGUGGGUAGUUUGACUGGGGCGGUCUCCUCCUAAAGAGUAACGGAGGAGCUCGAAGGUACGCUCAGCGCGGUCGGACAUCGCGCACUGUGUGCAAAGGCAUAAGCGUGCUUGACUGCAAGAUCGACGGAUCAAGCAGGUAGGAAACUAGGACUUAGUGAUCCGGUGGUUCUGUAUGGAAGGGCCAUCGCUCAACGGAUAAAAGGUACUCCGGGGAUAACAGGCUGAUACCGCCCAAGAGUUCAUAUCGACGGCGGUGUUUGGCACCUCGAUGUCGGCUCAUCACAUCCUGGGGCUGUAGUCGGUCCCAAGGGUAUGGCUGUUCGCCAUUUAAAGUGGUACGCGAGCUGGGUUCAGAACGUCGUGAGACAGUUCGGUCCCUAUCUGCCAUGGGCGUUGGAGAUUUGAGAGGGGCUGCUCCUAGUACGAGAGGACCGGAGUGGACGAACCUCUGGUGUUCCGGUUGUCACGCCAGUGGCAUUGCCGGGUAGCUAUGUUCGGAAGCGAUAACCGCUGAAAGCAUCUAAGCGGGAAGCGCGCCUCAAGAUGAGAUCUCCCGGGGCACAAGCCCCCUGAAGGAACCAUGUAGACUACGUGGUUGAUAGGUCAGGUGUGUAAGUACAGCAAUGUAUUGAGCUAACUGAUACUAAUGAUCCGAGAGGCUUGACCAU